rnacentral:rRNA from 1 species
GACGAACGCUGGCGGCGUGCUUAACACAUGCAAGUCGAACGGAAAGGCCCUGCUUUUGCGGGGUGCUCGAGUGGCGAACGGGUGAGUAACACGUGAGUAACCUGCCCUUGACUUUGGGAUAACUUCAGGAAACUGGGGCUAAUACCGGAUAGGAGCUCCUGCUGCGUGGUGGGGGUUGGAAAGUUUCGGCGGUUGGGGAUGGACUCGCGGCUUAUCAGCUUGUUGGUGGGGUAGUGGCUUACCAAGGCUUUGACGGGUAGCCGGCCUGGGAGGGUGACCGGCCACAUUGGGACUGAGAUACGGCCCAGACUGCUACGGGAGGCAGCAGUGGAGAAUAUUGCGCAGUGGGCGGAAGCCUGAUGCAGCGACGCCGCGUGCGGGAUGACGGCCUUCGGGUUGUAAACCGCUUUCGCCUGUGACGAAGCGUGAGUGACGGUAAUGGGUAAAGAAGCACCGGCUAACUACGUG